GCCUUGGUGCAAUAAGAACUUAAGCAUUAGCUUCAUGUAUGUAGGAAAAGUAGCAAAUAAUUUCAAUUGUAAAAUGAAUGCUUUGGUUUCUUUUCUUGUUAAUGCCGUUUGACUGGUUGUUUUGUCUUAGUGGUUCUUUGACCUCUCUUUGGUCUUUUUAUUGAAAGUUAUGUUGAGAAACUGAAAUUAACUUAAACGUAAAAGGAUUUUUUGAGUAAACAUAUUUCACAGCAUAAGAAUACUGCAGUUUUCCUCUCUUAUAUAUAUCUGAAAAACAAAGCUUACAAAAUAACAAUCUCCACAAUAACCACUAACACACAAGUGCAGAUUUUGUGGAGUUCAACUACCUUAAGCAACGGAAGCAAAUUUGAACGUGGUGAACAGACUAAACCACAACUUCUACAUUCUAGGACUUCAGCUUGACUUGGUCUCUACAUGGCCAUGUCAGCAUUAUUUAAUUAAAAAACUAAUUAAACUUAACUAAAUAACUUUUAACACCCUCCCUUAAACUGAUUUUUACGAAAAACAGUUUAGGAUCUCUACACCAUCACAUAAUCAUCUUCCUGUUCAAUGCUUUGAAAUGAACAAACUCCCAACAUGCUUCUCAGCUUCUCAAGCGCAGGUACCAUCACAUAAUCAUCUUCCUGUUCAAUGCUUUGAAAUGAACAAACUCCCAACAUGCUUCUCAGCUUCUCAAACGCAGGUUGCUUCAAAGGCUUAGUUAAGAUGUCUGCAACCUGCUCCCCACUCUUGCAAUAUUCAAGUACAAUCUUCCCAUCACUGCACAGGUCACGCAAAAAAUGAAAACGUACAUCAAUGUGUUUACUUCUCCCAUGCAUGACUGGAUUCCUCGAUAGCUUUAUAGUUGACAUGUUGUCGCAGUAGAUGGUUGUUGGUCCCUUUUGAACAUCACCAAGCACUUCAAAUAUUUUCCUAAGCGACAUAGCUUGACAGGAGCUUGCAGCUGCUGCUACAUAUUCAGCUUCUGUUGAGGAAAGUGUCACAAUUUGUUGCUUCUUUGAGGACCACGAUAUUGCACCAGAGUUGAGCAGAAAUGUGUGACCGGAAGUGCUCUUACGAUCAUCUAUAUCACCUGCAUAGUCACUAUCUGUGUACCCAACAAAACCAGAACCAUCUUCCCUUUUAUAAAACACACCAUAAUCAAUUGUCCCCUUUACAUACCUGAGAAUUCUCUUUGCUGCAUUGAGAUGCAUUUCAGUUGGUUUUUCCAUAUAUCGGCUCACAAGACUCACUGCAUACAUGAUGUCAGGCCUCGUGUAUGUUAAAUACAUGAGACUCCCAAUUAUCUGUUUAUAGAAAGUGCUGUCAACCUCCUUUCCACCUUUGUCUUUGCAUAGCUUUAAGCCAUGUUCAGCUGGAGUUCCAAAUGGCUUGCAGUCAUCCAUCUGAAACCUGUUAAGAAUGUCCUGUGCAUAUUUUUUCUGGUAGAUGAAAUUACCAGCAGUAGUUUGAAUGACUUCCAAUCCAAGAAAAUAGUGCAUUAAUCCUAGAUCAGUCAUUUCAAACUCCAUCAUCAUAGACUUCUUGAAUUCAUCAAACAUUUUAGCAUCACUUCCAGUGAAUAUCAAGUCAUCAACAUACAAGCAUACCAUGAGUAUUUUACCUUCUUCCUCAGUCUUGACAUAAAGUGUGUGCUCAAAAGGACAUUUGUGAAAUCCAAGCUUAGCAAAGUGAGCAUCUAUGCGACUGUACCAAGCUCGAGGUGCUUGUUUCAGUCCAUAGAGUGUUUUCUUCAGUUUGAACACCUUCUCUUCUUCUCCUUUUCUCUCAUAACCAGGUGGUUGAUCAAUGUACACCUCCUCUUGCAGGUUUCCAUGCAGGAAUGCUGACUUCACGUCUAACUGAAAAAUUUGCCAGGAAUUUUGAGCUGCAAGAGAGAUCACUAACCUAAUCGUGUCGUGCCUCGCAACUGGGGCAAACACCUCUUUGUAAUCAAUGCCAUGCUUCUGCUUGUAGCCCUUAGCUACCAAACGAGCUUUGUGCUUGUCAACCUCACCUUUUUCGUUCAACUUUGUUCUAAACACCCAUUUAACACCAAUGGUUUGCUUUCCCUUUGGAAGAUCAGUUAACUCCCAGGUUUGAUUCUUCUCAAUGGACUUGAUUUCAUUGUCCAUUGCUUCCCUCCAUUUCUCCUCUUUAACAGCCUCAGUAUAUGUGAUUGGAUCACUAUCUACAAGUAAUGCAAAGUGAGCAUUUUCAUCAUCAGAACUUGAAUAACUUACAUCGUAGUCCAUCAUCCAUGCUGGCCUCUUCCUUGAGUUCUCAUCUCUCAAAUUGUAUCUCUCUUCUUCAAACUGUUGAGAUGACUGAACUUCAAGUUGAGGUGGCUGCUGGGCUUGAGUUUCAGGAGCUGCUACCUCUUCAUUGUCUAAAUCAUCAUAAACUGGAAUUUGUUGUUGAACCGAUCUGUUCUCAGACCAAUUCCACAUAGUGUCUUCAUCAAAUAUCACAUCCCUGCUUACCACUAUCUUCUUUGUAACUGGAUUGUACAGUUUGUAUGCUUUUGAGACUUCACUUACACCAAGAAAAACACAUUUUUCACUUUUGUCAUCCAACUUCUUUCUUUUCUCAUCGGGGAUGUGUGCAUAUGCUAUGCACCCAAACACCCUAAAGUGAUCAACCGCAGGCUUCAAUCCACUCCAAGCUUCUUGAGGAGUCAUAUUCUUAACAGAAAAUGUGGGACUUCUGUUUAAAAUAUGAACUGACCAUAGCACAGCUUCAGGCCAAAACUUCUUGGGAAUUCUUCCUUUGACUAGCAGACUUCGAACCAUGUUGAGAAUGGUGCGAUUUUUCCUCUCACUUACACCAUUUUGUUGUGGUGUAUAGGCAGUGGUCAACUGUCUCUUGAUGCCUUUCUCUUUGCAAAAUGCAUCAAAUUCCUUCGAACAGUACUCUCCCCCACGGUCAGUUCUUAGAGUUUUAAUCUUCUUUUCUGAUUCAUUUUCAACUAGAGCUUUGAAGCUUUUGAAUGCUUCAAAUGCCUCUGAUUUUUCCUGCAAGAAAUAUACCCAUGUCUUUCUACUAAAAUCAUCAGUAAAGGAGAUGAAAUAUUUCUUGUUACCAUUUGAGAUGGGAUUUAUUGGUCCACAUAGAUCAGAGUGAACCAUCUCCAGGAUUUAUUGAGCCCUUGCUGCCUUGCCACUUGGAAAAGAGUCUCUUUUGUGCUUCCCAGUGAUGCAUUCUUCACACAUCUUUGAUGGAGGAGUUAUAUCAGGUAAGCCAGUGACCAUCCCUUUCUGGUGAAGUGUUCUCAAGCCAUUAAAAUUCAAAUGGCCAUAUCUGUAGUGCCAUCUCCACGGGUCAUCUUCUUUGGCAAAUAAGCAAGCCUGCAGAGUCUUGAUUUUCAAAGGAAACAAUCUGUUGGAAGACAUUUUCACAACAGCAAUGGACCCUCUUUUUGGGUCGUACACUUCCCACUCUCCUUUAUAGAUUGUAAUCCUAUAGCCUUUAUCUUGUAACUGACCAGCACUCAGCAAAUUUGUCUUCAAAUCAGGAAUAUAAAAAACAUUUGAGAUAGUUUCAAUAAAGUCAUUUUUAGUUUUGAUUUGAAUAUCUCCCUUACCCAUCACUUUCACUGUUGACUUGUCACCAAAACUCACUACCGUGUGAAAGCUUUCAUCCAAAUUAAUAAAGGAAGACUUACAUCCACUCAUGUGAUUGCUGCAGCCUGUGUCCACAUACCAUGUCUCCUGAUCAGUUUUUGUCAGUGCAUGAAAAGCCAUCAAAAGUGUCUCUUCCUCCUUCUUUUUCUCCACAAAAUUUGACUUUUCUCCUUUUUCUUUUGGUAACUUCGUGUAGCACUCAUUCUUGUAGUGCCCAAAAUUUCCACAUCUAUAACACUCCACUUUUGACUUAUCAAAGUGGUACGUUCCUUUUUCUUCAAAGUCAUCAUCUCUUUUGAAAACAUGAGAUGACUUGCUGUCAUCUCUAUGUCCAGACCGUCCACCUCCUCGAUGACCUCGACCACCUCUUCCUCUAUCACGUCCACCUCUUCCACGACCUCUUCCUCCUCGAGAACUUGAGGACUCAGAAACAAUGGAAGCUUUCAGAGCUGUUUGUUCUUCACUGGCAGUGGUGCGGUUAAGUCUUUGUUCAUGCACUAACAAAGAGCUUUGUAGUUCAUCAACUCGUAACUCAGCAACGUUCUUUGCCUCUUCAAUUGAACAGACAAUGUAGUCAAAUUUUGGAGUCAAUGAUCUCAUAAUUUUCUCCACAACUUUGACUUCUUCCAUGGUGCCACCAUUGGAUCUCAUCUUGCUUGCUAUUCCCAGAGUUCUAGCAAAGAAAUCAGUGAUGGACUCUCCUGAUUUCAUUUGUAAAGUUUCGAAGUCCCUUGUUAGAGUUUGAAGCACUGCACGCUUCACCCUCUCUGACCCUGCAUAUUUCUUCUUCAAAGAAUCCCAUAUUUGUUUGGAGGUCUCCUUCUCGAGUAUCGUCUCCAAGAUAGAUCGAUCAAGUGCCUGAAAAAGGUAAUUUUUCACCCUCAAGUCCUUCAGCUUCUGUUCAGCAACCCUCUUUUGUUGUUGUUCAGUCAACACAACUCCCUCUGCUGGGGCGUCAAUUCCUGAUUCCACAAGAUUCCAAUACUCCUUUGACCUGAGAAAAUUUUCCAUCAGCAUGCUCCAAUGGUCGUAGUGACCAUCAAAUCGUGGAAUCGCUGGUUGAAUAAAACUCUCAGUGGCUUUCUCUGUUGCCAUUGUUUCUUGCUGCUGCAAGACACAAUCUUUCACCUUUUUUUCAAGUUUGUUCAGGCCCAGAAGAGCUCUGAUACCAGAUGUUGAGAAACUGAAAUUAACUUAAACGUAAAAGGAUUCUUUGAGUAAACAUAUUUCACAGCAUAAGAAUACUGCAGUUUUCCUCUCUUAUAUACAUCUGAAAAACAAAGCUUACAAAAUAACAAUCUCCACAAUAACCACUAACACACAAGUGCAGAUUUUGUGGAGUUCAACUACCUUAAGCAACGGAAGCAAAUUUGAACGUGGUGAACAGACUAAACCACAACUUCUACAUUCUAGGACUUCAGCUUGACUUGGUCUCUACAUGGCCAUGUCAGCAUUAUUUAAUUAAAAAACUAAUUAAACUUAACUAAAUAACUUUUAACAAGUUAAUCAAAUAAAAUAAAAAUAAAACAACAAUUAGAAGGGUUGCAAUUAGAUAGGCUUGCUAGGCUCCAAGAGGUGCAAGACUGUCUUUUGAUUAAAGUUCAAGCUCCCAAGUCCAAAUUUGGGGCACCAACUAGCCUAUCUCAUUGCAGGCGCUUAACACUUGAAGGGACUGGCGCAAUGAUUUACUAGUAAAAUUUGUAAUAGCUUAAGACUUCGCUAGUAUCAUUUAGUAGUUACAAAUCACUUUACUUCGCCAGUAGUGAGUCCCAAUAUCGGCUGAAUUGCUCUUUCGCCAGUAUUAGUCUGUCGGUAUAAGCUAAAAUUGUAGUAGUGUAAGCUAAUUCUUGAUUUACUGUAAUUAUUCCCUUAUCGGUUAAAACUUCAAAUCAUCAAAGAAAAUCAAAGCACUCUCUAAGAAUUUCACCCUUUAAGAGUGCAUUGAGGCAAACCUAAAAAAAUUCUUCUUCAUCAUCAUCUUGUCACGCUUCCUGAAUCCACCAUAGGAGAUUUUAGUUUGGCCCUCUGGAUGUCCUCUUUUAGGUCUUUACGCACCGCUUCUUGGGGCUUAUCACUUGAGCUCCCAAAGAUCACUCUCUUAGCUUCAGCAAAACUUCCGUCGUGAUCUCGUUUGCGUUUCCCUAGGAUCUCCAAGGCCUCCAGCUGUUUUUGCAUCUCUUUAGAAUAAGAAGUUACCAUCUUUGAUAACUUUUCAUUUUCUGCCUGCAAUAUUUGAAGCUAGCGUUGAUUCUCCUCUGCUGUUUUUUCCUCUUUUUUUUUUUUUCAAUCUUUUGAUCUCACGCCGAUAUUCAUCAACCAAAUUCUGCUCUGCCACAACUAAGCUCUCAGUACUUGCACCUCAUAAGAUUUUGCAAUGAGGCGAUGCCCCACACUUGUGAUAGUUGUCGCAUUUUGCAAGCACAGUGCCACAACAUUGCUCACUAACCGGUUGUCAUCCCCCGUUCCUAGUAUGCAUACAUCCCUGGGAGUCACCAAACUCUUCGCAACUCCAAUGGCAACCUCGUUGUCAAGGAGUAACGAGUCGCUUUUUGUCACUGGUCCUCGUGAAGAAGCAAAGUAGGGUAUCCAGACUGGUGCAACUCCUUGCCCCUAUGUCUGUGUUGGCGGAGCUAGGUUAAGAUCCAAAGAAGAUGAGAAGGGAUACGACAUUUUCUUUCUGCUUUCUUUUUCUUUCAUUUUCUCUCUUUUCUCUUUCUUCUUUCCUUUCUCUUUUCUUUCUUUCUUUUCUCUCUUCUGCGUGGUUGUAAUUCUUCUUUUUCCUUUGUUUCCUUUAAUAGAUGAACCCUAGCACCAUUGCACCGUCUAAUUUUUCCGCAUUCCUUGAGCUCCACAGCCUUCUCGCUUUCCACCGUCUACAACUUUGUCGCGACUUGUGCAACGUCGUCCCUACUAUCCAUGGCACCCAUAAUUCCGCUUGUAGAUUUGUCGUACCUCUGCGCGUCGACACAUGUCUCCUCUCUCUAGGGGUGGGCAUUGGAUUUGUGGUUCAAAUUGAUUUAGGGUUGAUUAAAAUAAAAUGGCAGCCCUAGAAACAGUGACCAGGUAUCUAUCCCAUAUGACAUAAAACAUUUAAAAACAUCCAUGGGACUAUAUUUAAAAAAUCAACUUGAUAAUGUUUAGUUGGAUUGUAUAAUGUGUUUUGUUUUGUUUUGUUGGAUUAUAAAAUGUUUAAGUUUCUGUUUUUUUGUUUAUUUAUAAAAUCAUCCAUGGGACUUCAUUUUCGGUUCAAGGUUCCAUUUUUUUAAGAAACCAGUCCAAAUCGGACCAUGCCCACCCCUACCUCUCUGUCUCUUUUUUUGCUUUGUUUUCCUUCUCUCUCUCUCUCUCUCUCUCUCUCUCUCUCUCUCUCUCUCUCUCUCUCUCUCUUCCUUAUAUAUUCUCUCCUCUCUCUGUUUUUUUAUUUAAAUUUUUUCAAUUGUGAGUUUUGUAACAUGCAUGUUAUUUUAUUUAUGAACCCAUUACACGACUCCAAACUCACACAAAAAAAGACGACCCGAACCCAAGAAGACAUGUUUAUUAAAUGGGUUAGAUUCGGGUUGAGCAUUCUUGACACGUUUGUUAAUUGGAUUGGGUUAAAUAAAUCAAUGACAGCAUAAAAUGAACACAGGGUUUGUGAAAAAUGUGAUAUUUUCAAUGACUAUAUUAAUAAAUCUUUAUUUUUUGAGUAGUUAGAUUUUUGCACAAAGCUUACCUUCCUCAACUGAUAGCUGCAUUGAUCUUUUGUCUAGCUCAACGGCGUGUCUGCUAAGCUCAGAUGGUGAUAAUUGACGAAGCGCUGGCAACAUGAUGAACGAAGAGCAUUUUCAGUGCUGGCAAAACUAAAGGCAGAAAAAUUGUAUGAAAUUUUUUAAAUUGAAAGAGCAGUGCCAUAAUAAAAUGACCUACUCUGGAUCUAUUCUCUCUGAUCAGAAUCAUCAAAUUGCUUCAAGAGGUUCUUGAAAUGUAGAAACCCUUCUGUCCUUUGCUCAUCAUGGUUCUUCUCAGAACCAACCAAGUGAGGAACCAGAGAUUCAGGAGUGAAUCUAAGUUGCCUGGAAUGAGCAGCUGGCAAUCCAUUGGAACAGGUGGUUUACCAGGUGAAAAAUCUACCGGAGAAGCCAAGGGCAUUGGUGCGAACGCAGAUGUCUCAUGUUCCUGCUUCUUGGUUCUGUCUCUAGGUAGGUCUUGCUGCUUUUGCAAACAAUAUCGUUUGAAAUUGAGAGAGUAAGUAUUUUGUUCUCACACCUUUAACUCUUCGCUUGCCUAAUGCUGAAUCUAACUUCCUCGCACUACCACCAUGCAUGAGCUGAUCACUUGCACUGCUGAUGCUCGUGAAUUGGUGACAAGGGGAGCUCCGUGGCAACUCAGGGUUGAGUAUCUUAGUUCCCAAAACCUUAAUGGGAUGCGCGACUGGUCGUCCUAGAAAAACAUACUUGUUAGGGUUAGAGGUCCAUCGGAGUAGUCAUUAGCUGCUAAUCAACCCGAGAGAGAGAGAGAGAGAGAGAGAGAGAGAGAGAGAGAGAGAGAGAGAGAGAGAGAGAGAGCAAAGAAGAAAUGUGGGGCGUGUUUUUUUUUUCCUAAUCUUAUAAUUAAGCGUGUGUUUUCUAAAUCGGGGCAUGUGAGUUGUAUUAGUCGGGUAAUGAGAGUAUUAAAAACUUUCGUUUAAUAUAAUUCAGUAAUUAAGUAAUACAAGUUGACAUCAAACAAAUGACAUUGACUAUUUACUCAUAUCCAUAGUCUAAUACCAUGUACCAAACAUACCUAUACGAGCUUUUGCCACAUGACUCAUCUAACAUGACAAUCCAAGUCCACAAACACAAGCAUACACACUAAGACAGGACACUCAUAUGCAUGUGAACUACAAGAACGACUGCAUAAUAUCUUGUAUAGAAACAAGACAAUACAACCGGCGCUUAUUACAUUGGAACUACAGUUCACAUUACAUACCAAAUUUAGUAUAACACAGAUAGGAAUUCAAACAUUUGACUUGGCAUAACCCUCAAAUGCUUGGCCUCACAUUGAGACGGGAUAAAAGCUUUUGACCCAGAGACUUAUCUGCCUGCAUUGCCAAUACAAGCACAUAACAUCAGAACAACAUGGCUUAUUCUAAAACUAACCCUUCAUAUUCCAGUAUCACAUCAUCACGUUGCUUAACGGUACAAAUUCACAAAUGCAAUAAUUUAUAAAUAGACUCACCUGAGACCAGUAUGAGAUCCAAAUGCUGCGAAUCUCAUGGGUGACACGAGGGUCUGAUAGGGCAUCCACCCAUCGGCGGAUGAAUCGCUCUUGCCUGCAUGAAGAUGCAAGAUUAAGAACAAUGUUUAAAUACAAUUAUUUUCAUACAGAGACAUCACAGGGUUGCCAGGUACCUGUCUGGCGCCCAAGAUCUGUAUCUCUCUCCAGGUUGCUUAAAGUUGUUCUCCUUCUCAAUGACGCACUGAAUAACCAAAACAAAGUUCCCAUAUGAAUUAUUAUGUGCAGAAAACAAGGAAAAUCCAGAAAUGCAAUCGGUGCAUAUGUAUACACACACACACCUACACUAGUGUAUGUGCCCAGGUGACAGAAAAAGGGACACAGCUGGAAGAAAAGAUGAUGUACAGACGAGACGGGGAAACUAAGGUAUAUUAUUUAAAGCAAUAUUCCUCAAUUGAUAGAAACUGACCUUCUCACGCUUUCCAGAAAGGAUAUUAGAAGGAAUGGGGUAGCGCUCAGCAUGACGAACAGGAUCAUGCCUUGAAGGGAAGUAAUUAACCUGAAAAUAACAGUAUAGCAACUCAUCAGAGAAAACUCAAAUGAAUAAACAUGCAUACAAUUGGAGUUGUCCUCCCAGAAUAUUGAGCAAUCGAAGUAUACAAGGGCCAAAGCGAUUCCAUAUGAGACAUAACAAUUGAGUAAAAUAAUAAUACCUCCUCAUCCCUGUGCAUGAAAUUCAUGAAUCCCUCAUGAUGAUUGUUAUGAUGAGGACACUUGGGAGCAUUCACUGGGAGCUGCAGAUAGUUCGGGCCAAGACGGUGCCUCUGAGUAUCAGAAUAUGCGAAGAUUCGAGUUUGGAGCAUCUUAUCAUCUGAAUAGUAGAUACCAGGGACAACAUGGGCAGGGUUAAACGCAAGUUGUUCAUUCUCUGCAAAGAAGUUAUCGAUGUUUUUAUUCAGAACCAAACGGCCAACUGGCUGCAGGGGAAGGAUAUCUUCAGGCCAGGUCUUAGUUAAGUCAAGAGGGUCAAAGUCAAAUCUGUCCUCGUGAUCAGGAUCCAUUGUCUGAAUAUAAAGUUUCCACUCAGGGUAGUUGCCAGCUGCAAUGGAAUCAUAGAGGUCCUUGGUAGCAUGGCUGUGAUUAGCUCCUCCAACCUUAAUAGCUUCAUCCUCCAACAAACACUUGACUCCACAAGUAGGUUUCCAAUGAAAUUUCACAUAGUGUACUUUCCCUGCCUUACUGAUGAGGGUAUAGGCGUGAACACUAGAGCCUUCCAUGUGCCUGUAAUCUUGUGGAACUCCCAGAUCAUCAUAAAAGAAGGCGAACGUGUGCAGGCUUUCUGGAAGGUGGGAGAAGAAGUCAAGGAUCCUCCAAGUCUCUUGGAUGUGCGACUUGGGGUUCGGUUUGAAAGCACGGAUCGCGUCCGGGAAUUUCAUUGCAUCACGGACAAAAAAGACGGGGAAAUUGUUUCCAACCAGGUCAAAAUUACCCUGCGUUUAAGAAGAACAAAGUCACCACAUGAGUAAUUACUACACAGCAAAAUUAACCCGAAUAAAUUCGUAUAUGGUGAAUAAUGCUACAUGAGCAAUCUAUUACAGCCAGACGACUACCCCCUAUAAUUUAAAGGAAAAUGAAAAGGCAGAGCUAAGAAAGGAAUGAAUGCAAUCUUUCAUUAAAGUCACGAGACUGCAAGAUUUCCAAUAACUAUAAUUAGUCAAAUAUGACUUGAGUACUUCAGAUUUUGUCACCACAGCCACCUCAGCUGCCACUACAGAUACCAAUACAAAUCCAUUAAAUAUGCCUACACUAUUGAGAAAAUAAAUAAAACAUUGAUAAUAUAUAGGUAAAAACCUCACCUCUCUGGUGUAAAACUUCACUGCAAAACCACGAGGAUCCCUCAGGGUUUCAGGGCUGCCACGCUCAUGGAUAACAGUGGAGAAACGCACAAUGACAGGUGUCUGAACACCAGGGGCUCGAAGGAAGUCAGCACAAGUAAGCUGAGAAAUAUCAUGAGUGACCUCAAAGAAUCCCUUUGCACUGGCUCCCCUAGCAUGGACAACACGCUCUGGGAUUCGUUCUCUAUCAAAGGUGGCAAGUUUCUCCACCAGAUGAUAGUCCUCAAGGAGAACUGGACCUGAAAAAUAGAAACAGAAAUUUAAUUCGGAACUGCACCGACUCAACUCAUCAUAUUUAAUCAUCUAGAUUACAUGCAAAAAUAGCAUAAAAAUGAAAUUAAUUGUUAUGCGUUCCAGAACAUAAAAUAAAGAUGACUGUUGCUCGGUUGCAAAUAUUUGUAAUUUUUAUUUACAUUUAGAAGGUAGGGUUUCAGCCAACCAGAUUAUCUUGACAACCCAAAAGGAGGCUGGAGGAAUUAAACGAGAACCAACAGAGCGGGACAAUCAUUUUUCAACUAAAGUAAGUAGAAAUUUUAAAAUAAAGGGUUUACUACUGAAAUACCCCUUGAAAUUGUAGCUCACUUUCAAUUAGCCCUCUAUUCUUUUUUUUUUAGAAAAUUAAGGAUAAGAAUUUUUUUUUUCGGCCAAUUUCCCCCUGCCGUCUAAAUCCUCAACAUUUCUUCUAAUUUUCUGUUAAAUAUGAGGGCAUAUUGGUCAUUUCAAACAUUAAAAAUAAUAAAUAUAGAAUUAAAAAUUAAAAAUUGAAAUAAUAAUGAUAUAUUCACCCUAUGUUUGACAGCCACCAACAUCACACCCUCUCUUCGAUCUCUUUCCCCCUCCUCUUCAACAUCCACCAACAUCACCAUCCUCCACCCUCUGUCUCUUCUCCCCCCAUAUGCCCAUCCCCUCCUCCUUCUCCCUCCCACUCUCUUUUUGCGUCUCUCUCUCCCGAUGCCAAGGUUACAGAGAGGAAAACAAAAUUUAAUAAUAAACAUAUUGAGAUGUUUUGGGUGCCUGUUUAGGAUUUUGAUCUUGAAUUUUUUUUCUUUGGUGGCUGUUUGGCUGUUUGGGUUUCCUGGGGAGUAAGGUGAGGUUAAUAAUAAAGAUCUUCAAAUUUUUUGUGUGGCUAUUUAGGGUUUUGAUCUUGAAUAUAAAUUUUUUUUUGGGUGGUGUUUGAGUUUUUUGGGAGGUGAGGUUAUGGAUGUCGAAGAAAGAGGGAGACAUAAGGAGGAGGGGGAGGGUGAAAGGUGGGGGAAGAGAGAAGAGAGGGUGGGAGACACACUUUGUAGAUAACGAAAGGACGAAAAACAAAAAAGAAGAUCAAAACCCUAAAGCGUAAGGGAAUAGGGCGACAAAGUGAGAGAGAAGGAGGCAGGAGGAGGUGAGUCGGGGUGGGGCUGGUUGACCUCGGGAGAAGCAUCGGGCAGAGGAGGAGGGGGAGAAGAAAACCAGAGGGGAGGGGGAAGAAAAAAAACUGAUGAGAUAAGGUUUUAUUUUGUGUUAUCUUUUUCUUCUUUUUUCAAUUUUUUUUAAUGAUUUAAUAAAAAAUUGGAUAAAAUGUUGAGAUGUAGACCGCAGGGGAAAAUUAGCCAAAAAAAGAAAUUCAUAUCCUUAAUUUUCUAUAUAUAUAUAAAUAAAUAAAUAACAGAUAAGGGGUUAAUCGAAAAGGAUCAGCUUCAAAUACAAGAUAUAUAAGUAUAUAUAUACAUAUCUUAAAUCCCACAAGCGUUUCCAAAGAUUAAUCAUCCUCAACCUGGUAGUGGGCGGGAAUAACAUCCAAAAAGCAGUUUACAUCUCAUAAUCACAUGAAUAUCAAAAUCUUGUUCAAAAAAGUUGAGAAAACCAUCACAAAAAUUCAAAACCCAGGUAAGCGAAGAACCUAUGAUAACAAAGAUAAAUAUAUGCACACAAAUAGUGAACAGCAUCAUAAGAUAGAUAGAUGAUGAAGCGCAACUAAAAAUAAAAAAUAAAAAAACUGGGUUGCAAUUGAAAGCCCAGGAUCAAUCAACGAAGAGUUGUGAUGAAUUACCUCUAGGUCCAACAGUCAAAGAAGAGUCGUUGUUCCAAACUGGAGCACCGGCGUUUGUGGUCCAGUAUGGGGAAUCAAAAGCACUUGAAGGGCGGUGCUGCAACAUACACAACGAAAAUGAAACAAGACCAUGAUGAGCUAAAAGAACAACAAACACAAAAUUUCGAGCACGCUUAAAUAUGACCAAUCUGAUUGAUCAAGAAGAUUAAUUCACCAAGAAAUCAAACUUAAACAAAUCAAGAAAUAUUGAGAUUAGGACAGGGAAAUGAGUACCUUGUAAGGAUCCAUGGAGAGAGAGAUGGGGAGAAGAAGAAGGGAGUUUGAUAAGAAGGUGAGAGAGCAGAGAUAAGCCACUCAAAAGGAGGGUCCUGUGGCAAAUGAGAAUUGAAGAGUGACAUGUGAAAUAGGGGAAUUUAUAAACACUUGGGGGUCGUGGAAGGUCCCUCGCGCUUAUGUGCAAAUUACCAAUCUCAGCUGGUUAUCUUUAUCCAAACACAGUGGAAGGUCAACAGAAGAGAAAACAUAUCUUUGCCAAUUUAGCGUCGCGAGUCAGAACGAUUCCCGCCAAACCUUUCAAUUGAAAAGUAAAAAUGAGUAAAAAGGAGUAGAAACACCAUAAUUGACUGUGUAAUUAUAAAAUAUAUGGAAUCGUCUUUUUAUUUUUCAAAUUUUGUGAACAUAUUAUCGCUAAAUAAUUAACACAAAAAUUGAUUUAAAUAUAAUGUUGUUUUAUCUAAUGAGUAUUUCAAACUUGUAAUUAAUGCUAACUAUUUUUUAUAUUAUUUUUUUAAUAUAAAUGGACCAAUUUAAAAAAAAAAAAAAAAAAAGCUACAGCAUUUAUGACUCUAAAUUUGAGAGUAUGGUUGGAGCUGAAAUUUUUUAAAGAGCUCCUAAAAUAGCUUUUUUGUAUUCUUACCUAAAUUUUAGCUAAAAAAUAGAGAACAUCAUUAUGGAUGCUCUAACUAUAGAGAUUUGAUUGAAACAAUUAAAAACAUUUCACGGCGAACAACAAUGGCAGGGCAAAAUGCAAAUUAUUAAUUUGACUAUUGUUCUUUGUUUGUACCAUAUAUGACUCUCCGCUCACAUCAUGACACGUGGAAAGCAAACGAGGUUAAGACCAACCCUGUGAAGCAGGGCCGAAUAGGCCAAUUCGACAUGAAUCGGCAUACACCACCGAUUCAUACAUGUUCUUCAAUUGGUAAGUGCUCUGGACUGCCCCCUUAAACAAACCUUCAGUACCUGAUGUCGAAUGACCUCAAGGGCGCCAUCAGCACGACUGGCCGAUCAUACAAGACAACCUCGAAGCUCUCGCUAAAGCAUGUUGGGAUGCGUGUCAACCAUUAAAGACACUCUCACAAGUCCUACAUCGAAACUAAGUGCUAAGUGAUCACCCAACACCCUGAAUAAAUAAGGCCUCUGGCCCCAGCCACAGGGUAAAACUUUCUACUUGAACUGUGCUCCCACAUUCAGUACUUAGCUCUUAGUCACUAACUUUGGCAUCAGAGGGUCUUCGCCCGAGACCAUACCGGUGCUCAAGACCUCACCUGCCGUUUCUCUCUUCAGCUUGAUUCCAGCAUCAUGAUCCAAGGAAGGACGCCACGGUCCGAAGGCCCCUCCUGUCCAAACCAUCCAUAUAACUUGUAAGUUAGCCCUAUAACUAUUUGUUUAGUUUUAACGCUAACAUUCUUAAUUGAAUUAUUAAUUUUUUGUUAAUCUUUUAUUUUACUUAAGAAAAAAAAAAUUCAUUUGUAUAUCUCACAUUAUCAUUGAACUGGAUUCAAGACAAUCAAUUUAACAACAAAUUCCGAAUCUCCAUAUUUAGGAUCUGUGCAUUUAACCACAUUUUGUGAAAUUCCGCUCAAAUAAUCUAACCAUUUAAUAUAGGACACAUCAUCAAUCUUUAACCUAAGAUUUUUUUGUUAACUUUAAAGGUAACAUGCUUGAGGGAGAUACUUUUUUCAUCAUGCUUCCUCCUUGAAAAAACUGUAAAUAAAAUUAAUUUAUUGCUAUUUACCUCCAGUUUAUAGAUCGAACCCUAAGCACAAAGUGAACUUCAGAACUUUGAUUUUCUAGUCACAAAAAUCGAGCAAAUUAUGUAAUUAAGAAAUAACAUAUAUUACGAUGAAUUAAAAAAACCCCUCAAGCACGUUUACUUUAAUGUUAACAUCAAUUUUUGAAAAGAAAAAAAAAAGGACUUUAACUUAAAGAUUAAUUAAUGAUGUGUCAUAUAAGUAGUUAGAUAUUUAGUUUAAAUUUUACGAAAUGCAAAUAAAUGCACAGAUUCUAAAUAUAAAAAUUCGAUAUUCAUAUGCCAUAAAUAUCACUUUAUGAUUGAAAAUCCAGAAUAUUAAACUAAAAUUAUAUUUCUUCACAAAAAUUGCAUCUAAACAUGAGGAUAAAAUGAUGUUCAUCCAUACAUUGAACAAGCACAAUAUAUCGUGAAGAUAUUUGAUAUAUUGAAAACCUCGCCCAUAUAAUACAUUCAUGUAGGAAGGCUGAAUGAUGGGACCAACAAAGAAUUAUGUCAUAAAUUUUUAGGGUCAUAUUAGGGAGAUUAACUUUAGAUAAUAACUUGUGUGUCAUCUCUCUAAUAGAGGUAGAACCCACCAAUAAAAUGGAUCUCACAAUUUAUUAGAGAGAUGAUAUACAAGUUGGUAUCUAAAGCUGGUCUCCCUAACAUUUUUCUUAUUUUUAUUGACAAAAACUUCAACGACAAAAAAAAAAAAAAAAAACAAGAAAAAGGCCUAGAAAAUUAUUAUUAUUGUUAUAAAAUAAUUGGAAUAUGUGCGAGAAUGUUAAUCUGCACGUAAAGUAAAUGAGACACAAUAUUUAACGAGGUUCAGCCUUGCUUAGUACUCGGAAAACAACAACAGUAACUUUUCCACUAUGUAAAAUAAUAAAGCUAUAACUUUAAUGUUUAUAAUAUAUGUGACCCGCUAAUCUUUCUCUCUUAAAAAUUUCUCCCUGCUCUCUUUUCUCUCCAUCACUUACCCGCUUUCUUUCCUCCUCUUCUUUAUUUUCUUCCUUUCCUAUCAGCAUGGGCUCUCUUCUUCUCAGAUGAUUGGUUGUCUCACCCAUUUGCACAAGAGGGUAGCCUUGGCAAGCAAGAAUGACACCAAGUGUGCAAUAAACUAAUGCACCAAAGUCCCCACACAAAUAGUAAGUGGGCUUCACAUCACAUGGGUACUCUUUACAGCAAUUAUCAUAAUCGUGGUGGGAAUUCCACGAUUGAAAAUAAUUGAGCACGUGAUGCAUUCAUCAUGCCUUAUCCAGAUCUUGGAGCUUUGCUAACGCUUAGGCGCAAUCACUUAUGGCAGUGGAUAUGCUUGAAGUUUAUAAAAACAGACAAAAUAAAUAAAUAAAAAACUGGAAGAGGCUAUUUUUCGGUGUCGUUUGUGUGAAAGCUGCCGAAAACAGGAAAUAUGCUGAUAAGGUUAGAAGGGGCCCGAGCUCAGAUUAGGCACAAAGAGUGCCACUCUCUGGGCCCACUUCAAAUUUGGAUACAUAAAAAACGAAGAAGAAAAAUCAACGAACUCUGGGCUCGCUCAAUGUCUUUUUCUACAGGAUUUCUUCUUUGUUACUUGUCAAUACUGAUAUUGUAAAGUAAAGAAUGUGGAGCCCACAAAUAAUAGAACCUAAUUGAUUGAAGAUGAAUAAUGGUAAAGCUUGUCUGCCAACACUCACGUGAAGUCAAAAAAAUAUGAGUAAGCAGCCACAGAAUUCUGACUACAAGCAAGGCUUUCCCCCUUUCUUCAACAAACAUACCAUCUGAGAAGAAAUGAGAGUCCAUAUAAAGAAUAAAGAAAGGAAGGAAAGAAAGAGGGUGAAUGAGUAGAGAGAAAAUGAGAGCAGAGAGAUAUUUUUUAAGAGAGAAGUCACAUAUAUUAUAAAUAUUAAAAUUAUAGUCUUAUUUUUUAUAUAUUGAAAAAGUUAUUGCUGUUGUUCUUUGAGGACGUAGACAAGGGAACUAUGAGAUCAAGGAAGCUUCGAGUUAUACUCAUAUGACCAUACUUCUUGUUCUUCAUGCAUAAAACAUAUUCAAGUUCCAUGUUCAAGACUUGACAUCUAAUCAUUAUAGUGAUCAUCUAAAAAAAAAAAAAAAUUUAAAAAAAAAAACGUAACUAGGCCUUGAUGCAAUAAGAACUUUAGCAUUAGCUUCAUGUAUGUAGGAAAAGUAGCAAAUAAUUUCAAUUGUAAAUUUUAAUGUGGAAGCGUAGAAACGAGUACAAACAUUUGGAAGUAAACACGUUACCAUAAUAAUGUUGGUGUAACAACAAUUAGAAGGGUUGCAAUUAUAUAAUAAAUAUUUAUUCUUUGAGUACGUUACCAACAUCUGUUAUAAUGGAUAAAAAUGGUUGCAUAGGCCAGUUGAUGAGGACAGUAUGUACCCUCGUUACUCAAGUUUGAAUCUUCCUCUAGUUUUAUUACUUGUACAAAUAAAUAAAUAAACAAAAUGGUUUGUCUAAAAUAACUGGUCUCACCAAAAUUAAAGCAAUUACAUUACAACAUCUUCUGCCGUGGAAAAAACACACAAAACAUAAAAGAAAAAUAAAAAGAGAGAGAUAACAAAUUAUACUGGUAAGAGUAGACUACCUCCUGUUGCUCUUGUUGGAGGGGAAAAAGCAGUGAGGGGCAUAUUACAGUAGAAGAGUCAGCAUCAACUUCACAGCUAACAAUUCCCAAGCUUUAAAGUAAGCUCAAGGUAUUUGGGAGAGUUCAUUCUGCUGGCCAUCACCAAAACCAGAGUAUUUUGAAUCUUUAAUCGCUUUCCACUUGUUGCACUGAACACGCUCAAAUUGCCUAUAAAAAAUUGCUUGUCAUUGAAGACUUCCCCAAUAUAUUUAGAGCCAUCAUCCUUUGGAUCUCUUUUGCUGCAUGAUGCAUUGAUCACUAGAGUUAAAUAAAUCAAUGACAGAGCCAUAAAAUGAACACAGGGUUUGUGAAAAAGGUGAUAUUUUCAAUGACUAUAUUAAUAAAUAUUUAUUCUUUGAGUAGUUAGAUUUUUGCAUAAAGCUUACCUUCCUCAACUGAUAGCUGCAUUGAUCUUUUCUCUAGCUCAACGGCAUGUCUGCUAAGCUCAGAUGGCGAUAAAUAACGAAGCGCUGAUAACAUUAUGAACAAAGAGCAUUUUCAGUGCUGGCAAAAUUAAAGGCAGAAAAGUAGGUACGAAAUUUUUAAAAUUGAAACAGCAAUGCCAUAAUAC
rnacentral:lncRNA from 1 species